UGACUAAAGAGCAACAUUUUCUUCUCCCACUGCACGCCAUCCUCUAUAUAUAAAGAAAAUCUCUCUCGUUUCUUCUACUAUCCAUUUCUCUUUCUCUCUGAAAAGUGGGAUGCUUCAAUAACUUCUACACUCUAAUUGGAAGAGAAAAUGUCAGUUUCUUCAUUUAUUGGAGUUUUGGUAAUCUUUGCUCUGGUCUUUGUUUUUGUUUCGCCUACUUUGCCUUUGUAUCGGCCGACUCCUCUUCCUGCUGUCAUCAAUAGUCAACCAUGUGAAAGUUUAAGCAAAACUUGGCACGGGAGAUGUAGGAGCACAAGAAACUGUGAUAGGCAUUGCAGGAAUCAGGAGAAGGCAGAUAAUGGGGCAUGUCAGGGGUUUUGGCAUAAAAAAUGCUAUUGCUAUACAUCGGAAAUGUGCCUGAAUACAAGACGAUGAAAACGCAUCGAAAGGUGUAAAAAGACUCCUUUAACAGUAGUUGUUGCAACUGAUGUUAGAGAAUAUACUCUCCGUAUACCGGGGAUUUGGUUUGAGAAAUAUAUUGUAAUUAUAAUCAAUCAAAUCUAAUUGAUUUGAUUGAUUUAUUUGUAGCAGAUUUGAUGGUAAUUAAUCAAAUCAAAUUGAUUGAUUAUCAUACUUAUCUACCCAAACUCUGCUAUAAAUAAGAGUUUAUUGUAUUGUGAAAUAAGAGUAAAAUGUAGCUUUUGGGGCUU